GAUGAACGCUGGCGGCGUGCCUAAUACAUGCAAGUCGAGCGAACGGACGAGAAGCUUGCUUUUCUGAUGUUAGCGGCGGACGGGUGAGUAACACGUGGAUAACCUACCUAUAAGACUGGGAUAACUUCGGGAAACCGGAGCUAAUACCGGAUAAUAUUUUGAACCGCAUGGUUCAAAAGUGAAAGACGGUCUUGCUGUCACUUAUAGAUGGAUCCGCGCUGCAUUAGCUAGUUGGUAAGGUAACGGCUUACCAAGGCAACGAUGCAUAGCCGACCUGAGAGAGUGAUCGGCCACACUGGAACUGAGACACGGUCCAGACUCCUACGGGAGGCAGCAGUAGGGAAUCUUCCGCAAUGGGCGAAAGCCUGACGGAGCAACGCCGCGUGAGUGAUGAAGGUCUUCGGAUCGUAAAACUCUGUUAUUAGGGAAGAACAUAUGUGUAAGUAACUGUGCACAUCUUGACGGUACCUAAUCAGAAAGCCACGGCUAACUACGUG
rnacentral:rRNA from 1 species